UUCCGGUUGAUCCUGCCGGAGGCCACUGCUAUCGGGGUCCGACUAAGCCAUGCGAGUCAAGGGGCUCCCCUUUUGGGGAGCACCGGCGAACGGCUCAGUAACACGUGGCUAACCUACCCUCGGGUGGGGGAUAACCUCGGGAAACUGAGGCUAAUCCCCCAUAGGGGAGGAGGUCUGGAAUGAUCCCUCCCCGAAAGCCCGUAAGGGCGCCCGAGGAUGGGGCUGCGGCGGAUUAGGUAGUUGGUGGGGUAACGGCCCACCAAGCCUACGAUCCGUACGGGCCCUGAGAGGGGGAGCCCGGAGAUGGACACUGAGACACGGGUCCAGGCCCUACGGGGCGUAGCAGGCGCGAAACCUCCGCAAUGCGCGAAAGCGCGACGGGGGGACCCCGAGUGCCCUCCC
rnacentral:rRNA from 1 species